UACGUAGGGGGCAAGCGUUGUCCGGAUUUAUUGGGCGUAAAGAGCGUGUAGGCGGCCAGGUAGGUCGGUUGUGAAAACUGGAGGCUCAACCUCCAGACGUCGACCGAAACCAUCUGGCUAGAGUCCGGAAGAGGAGAGUGGAAUUCCUGGUGUAGCGGUGAAAUGCGCAGAUAUCAGGAAGAACACCCGUAGCGAAAGCGGCUCUCUGGGACGGUACUGACGCUGAGACGCGAAAGCGUGGGGAGCGAACAGG
rnacentral:rRNA from 1 species